GCCUCCGUGGCCUAAUGGAUAUGGCACUCGCUUCCUAAGCGAGGGGUUGCGGGUUCGAGUCCCGCCGGGGGUA
rnacentral:tRNA from 1 species